AGAGGCUGCUUGUUGACUGGUAUAGCUCCGUGACCCUUUGCUCAAUCGCUGAGGUUUGAUUUCUUACCCUCUCUUAUCCCCAUUUUCAUACCCUUCCCAGGGAUUAGUGACGGGGGUGAGGCUCCUCUAAUCAUGGUGAAGUAUUAGCCUUCCACCUCCUCCCUUCUCCUCCCUCUCCCCCAUCCUGUCUUCCUCAUUUCUCUCCUUUUUCAUCACUGAUUGCCUUGUGUCCCUCCAAGUCUGUUGUUGCUGUCCAUCCCCAGGCCUUGGGCCCCAUAGACACUAAACCUCAUGCCCUAAAGAUAGGAAGAAAGACCCUCUGUACAGAGUUAUCCUUCACCCCUGGAGCACUGAAGCUCAGGGUGAUACUAGAGUGAGGAUCCCACCAGUUUUGCCUGGCUUCCUCCAUCACCAGAGGCUUAAAAAGUAGUAGUUUAUGGACAGUGGCUUACUCUCUCUAAGCCUGAUACAGGUGAAUGAGCGGUAAGGCUUUGGUAAAACUGAGGGACAGAGGUCCUUAUUUGUCUUUUUUUUUUUUCUUUUUCUUUUUGUCAUUUGACCACAGCAUCUGGACUUCUUUCAUCCCUGGAAUAAGUAUUUUUCCACAUUUUUUGGAUGUAUGUAUGGUAGACAAUUUUUUUUUAAGACACAGAGAUAAAUGUUUUCCUGCUUUGGUUACCUUUCCUUUCCCCUUUAAAAGGAAUUAGCUAUAGAACUGCUUUGUAAAGAUGCUUCUUGAUAUUUUACUUUUGUUCCUUUUCCCUAACCUCUCCCUUUUCUCCCCACUUCUCCAGAAGGCAUAACCUUCUCUCCACACCCCCUACCCCCACCCCAGUCCUAGGCUCCUUUCCCCUCCAACAAGACCUUCAUUAGCUUAUGAUAUUUGCUGCCGAGAUGUUAUAACAAGGACUCAUUCGUGUAUAUAAGCUAUUUCUUGAUCCAUUUAAAAGGAAUUGUACAUUGUGUAG
rnacentral:lncRNA from 1 species